rnacentral:rRNA from 1 species
UACGGAGGGUCCGAGCGUUAUCCGGAUUCAUUGGGUUUAAAGGGUCCGCAGGCUGUUUGUUAAGUCAGGGGUGAAAUCCUACCGCUCAACGGUAGAACUGCCUUUGAUACUGGUUAUCUUGAGUUAUUAUGAAGUAGUUAGAAUAUGUAGUGUAGCGGUGAAAUGCAUAGAUAUUACAUAGAAUACCAAUUGCGAAGGCAGAUUACUAACAAUUAACUGACGCUGAGGGACGAAAGCGUGGGUAGCGAACAGG